rnacentral:lncRNA from 1 species
GAUUUGUUUUCAUUUCUGAUGGGUUGCCACCAUAUACUGCUAGGUGUCACUGGUGGAUUUUGGGAGCAAUUAGAAUGAUCUUGAUGAUCGAUCAUUCUAAUUAUCUGAAUCAGAAGAGUUCUGAUCCAUCGAAAAGAGUUUCGAUGAUGUCGAUGAUGAGAUCACGACAUCCCUCAUUACCAUACGGAAAUGAACCUAACUGGAUCACACAAAUAAGAGUUAGGGUUUGGAUGUCAUCAAUUGAGCUAGCACAGUUCGAUUGAUUUGGAUUAAAUCCAAUUAGGUACAAGAAAAUCGUGCUAGCACACAAUUGAGCCUAACCUUCUCCUCGUGUAAUCUUUUCUAUCUCGACUGAGCCAAAUGUGAUUUGACUCAUCCAGAGAACCUUGAAAAGAUUUCUCACAGUCUGACUAGAGCCAGUCCAGCUCAAAAAGGACUUGUCUUAAUUCAUGAGAUGAAUUUAAGACAACACCUUCUAAUUCCUAUCACCUGCCAUUUCCGUUUUAGGAUAUUGGUCAAACGUUGACCCAUGGAUCUUGGACUGAAGGCCAC